CCUACGGGAGGCUGCAGUGAGGAAUAUUGGACAAUGGACGAGAGUCUGAACCAGCCAAGUAGCGUGAAGGAUGACUGCCCUAUGGGUGGUAAAUUUCUUUUAUAUGGGAAUAAAACGUUCCACGUGUGGGAUUUUGUAUGUACCAUAUGAAUAAGGAUCGGCUAACUCCGUGCCAGCAGCCGCGGUAAUACGGAGGAUCCGAGCGUUAUGCGGAUUUAUUGGGUUUAAAGGGAGCAGAGGGUGAUUGUUAAGUCAGUUGUGAAAGUUUGCGGCUCAACCGUAAAAUUGCAGUUGAAACUGGCAGUCUUGAGUACAGUAGAGGUGGGCGGAAUUCGUUGUGUAGCGGUGAAAUGCUUAGAUAUCACGAAGAACUCCGAUUGCGAAGGCAGUUCACUGGACUGCAACUGACACUGAGGCUCGAAAGUGUGGGUAUCAAACAGGAUUAGAUACCCGUGUAGUC
rnacentral:rRNA from 1 species